UUCGGCUUAGAGUUUGAUCCUGGCUCAGAAUGAACGCUGGCGGCAGGCCUAACACAUGCAAGUCGAACGGGUGCCUUCGGGUGCUAGUGGCGGACGGGUGAGUAACGCGUGGGAACAUACCCUUUGGUACGGAAUAGCCUCGGGAAACUGAGAGUAAUACCGUAUGUGCCCUUCGGGGGAAAGAUUUAUCGCCAAAGGAUUGGCCCGCGUUGGAUUAGGUAGUUGGUGGGGUAAUGGCCUACCAAGCCGACGAUCCAUAGCUGGUUUGAGAGGAUGAUCACGCCACACUGGGACUGAGACACGGCCCAGACUCCUACGGGAGGCAGCAGUGGGGAAUCUUAGACAAUGGGGGAAACCCUGAUCUAGCCAUGCCGCGUGAUCGAUGAAGGCCUUAGGGUUGUAAAGAUCUUUCAGAUGGGAAGAUAAUGAAGGUACC
rnacentral:rRNA from 1 species